UGAAAGACAAAAAGCAAAAAAACUACAUAGAGAUACUUGACAAGACCAGAUCAUGUUAUGUCAUGCACUCUAUGCAGAUGGUGGAUAAGAGUUGUACUUCUGGGGUUUGCUGAAGGAGAGGUGAAGUGGCUUGGUGAAAGGAAGAAAGCGGUUUGUUUUUUCCGUGUGUUGUGCGCUCAUAUAUACACAGACAAAACUUCAACAUGCACAGACCCACACAUCAGUGAUUCUCUGAGCUCGGUCAAGGCAAUGCAAUUUUACUGUAGGAGGAUGGAAGAGUGUGAGCCACGUUUUCAUCAAAUAUUUACACCUGAACAAUGUGUAUGAAUUGAAGCCAUUAAAGAGAAGCUGAUGGAGGGAGGGAGUGGAGAAGAGGAGGCGGGCUGGUCUAAUAACACACUACCUGG